AUUGAACGCUGGCGGAAUGCUUUACACAUGCAAGUCGAACGAUGAACCUUAGCUUGCUAAGGGGAUUAGUGGCGAACGGGUGAGUAAUAUAUCGGAACGUGCCUUUUAAUGGGGGAUAACUAGUCGAAAGAUUAGCUAAUACCGCAUACGCCCUGAGGGGGUAAGUAGGGGAUCUUCGGACCUUACGUUAUAAGAGCGGCCGAUAUCUGAUUAGCUAGUUGGUGGGGUAAUGGCCUACCAAGGCGACGAUCAGUAGCUGGUCUGAGAGGACGACCAGCCACACUGGAACUGAGACACGGUCCAGACUCCUACGGGAGGCAGCAGUGGGGAAUUUUGGACAAAGGGCGCAAGCCUGAUCCAGCCAUUCCGCGUGAGUGAAGAAGGCCUUCGGGUUGUAAAGCUCUUUCGCAAGGGAAGAAAACUUACCAUCGAAUAAAUGGUGAGGCUGACGGUACCUUGAGAAGAAGCACCGGCUAACUACGUG
rnacentral:rRNA from 1 species